GUGAAUCAUCGAAUUUUUGAACGCAAAUUGCGCUCUCUGGUAUUCCGGGGAGUAUGCCUGUUUGAGGGUCAGUUAAAAUAAAAAUCGGUGUGGGCGCUGCCUUGCGUGGUGACGCACCGGAUUUGGGUCGUCUGGCCUUCGGAUAAGUGACCUAAAAUUGUGCGUGAUUUUGUCGAACGGAUUUAAGUUAUUUUACGUACGUUUGCGGGAUCGAA
rnacentral:misc_RNA from 1 species